GCCAAUUGCCAUCUUAGGUCUCGUUUCAUUCGGGUAUAAGCAAAAGUUGUUUAUUACAGAAAUAGGUAUACGUUCAGGGAUAUAAGCAAGAAUUAGAUUAAUUUUGCGUUUGAAUGAAAAUUAGAUUGUUUCCGAAAAUAAAGAAAUAACAUUUGACCGACCGUCCCUAAAUCAAGUGGCAAAGGGCUUAGUGGUUGGUACCCGAGACCCAAGUUCGAAUCCUAGUUGAUUCAUAUUUCAGAUUAAGUUUAUUUCUAAAUAAAAUAAACGAAGCGGGUAGCGUGCUACCUAUCUCUCAAAAAAGAAAAAAUAACAUUUGGAUAGAUAAGAUAGAAUAAGAAGGAUAGUGAGUAGUUAUAAAUAAAAAAUAAUGAUAUUACUUUUCUCAUUAUAUUUAAAUUUAAAAUUUAAAAUUUUAUAUUUGUAUUUUUAAAUUUAAAAUUUUAACCUUUAAAUUUAAAAAUUUGAAAUUAAAAUUUUAACAUUUAAAAUCUCAAAUUUAAAAGUCAAAAUUUUAAAUUUUAAAUUUCAAACUUUAAGUUUAAGAUCAAAUUUAAAUUUGAAAAAUAUAAAAUAUCAAAUUUUAAAUAUCAAAANNNNUUAUAUAUUAUAAUAUAUUACUUUUAUUAUAAAAUUAUUAAUUGUACUAUAUUAAUACAUAUUAUUUAUAUUUAAAUAUUAUAAUAAAUUAUAUUUAAAUAAUAUAAUAGAUUAUUUUUAAUAAAUUUAUAAUUUUUUUAUUAUUAAUAAAUUAAUAAAAUUUUAAAAAAUUCUACUUAAACUUAAAUUUAAUAAAAAUAAUCUAUUAUAUUAUUUAAAUAUAAUUUAUUAUAAUAUUUAAAUAUAAAUAAUAUGUAUUAAUAUAGUACAAUUAAUAAUUUUAUAAUAAAAGUAAUAUAUUAUAAUAUAUAACAUAUUUUAUUUAUAUAAUUUAGUUUUAAUUCAAUUUAUAAUUUUAAUAAAGUUUGAAAUUAAACAUUGAAAUAACACUAUUCCACCAAAAUGGUGGAAUAAUAAAUUUCAAGUUAUUCCGGGAUAGCCGGGAAUAACAAAGUUUGAUUGGAAUAAAAUAUUCCGGCAAAAAAUUAUUCCGUUUGGUAAAAUAACGUGGAUAACUUUGCUUAUUUCCGUUCAUACUCCGAACCAAACGGGGUCUUAAAGUACACAAAAUGGAGCCAUGUAUGAGAAGAAACUAUAUUCCUUUGUGAGGAGAGAGAGAGAGAGAGAGAGAGAGAGAGAGAGAGAGAGAGU
rnacentral:lncRNA from 1 species